GAUGAAGAACGCAGCGAAAUGCGAUACUUGGUGUGAAUUGCAGAAUCCCGUGAACCAUCGAGUCUUUGAACGCAAGUUGCGCCCGAAGCCAUUAGGCCGAGGGCACGCCUGCCUGGGCGUCACACGUCGUUGCCCCCCCAUCUACUCCUUCGGGAUUGCGGGGGGCGGAUGAUGGCCUCUCGUGCGCCUCGUCGCGCGGUUGGCCUAAAUGCCAAGUCCUCGGCGACGCACGCCACGACAAUCGGUGGUUGCGAAACCUCGGUUGCCUGUCGUGUGCGGUCGUCGCGCAUCGAGGGCUCGAAAAAAAUGCCGGGCUUCGGCUCGACUUUCAACGCGACCCCAGGUCAGGCGGGGUUACCCGCUGAAUUUAAGCAUAUCAAUAAGCGGAGGA
rnacentral:misc_RNA from 1 species